UAUCCACCUAAUUUCCGGUACCAUGUCAUAAAAUGAGCUCUAAAAACGAAUGGACGGCAUGGAUUUCUCACAUACAUUGAGGUGGGCCCCACCCAUCAUACUUGCGCAGGAAAUCCACGCCCGCUUCCUUGGUGGAUGAGUUACCCGCGGCCAUAAUACCCUCGUUCAUGUGCAGCAAAGAGAGAGCGAGAGAGAGGAAAUGGCGACGAUGAAGGCCAUUUGAGAGAGCAAAUGGCGGCGAUAAAGGUCAUUAUAGCUAGGCAUAUCUUCGAUAGCCGUGGAAAUCGAAACAUUGAGGUGGAUGUUUGUCUGAGUGAUGGAACCCUAGCUAGGGCUGUUGUCACGAGUGGCGCCUUGACAGGUUCUAAAAUGUGAGUAUUCUGUCCGUGGAGAGAUUGUUACCCAUGCCCAGUUAUGGUGUUAUAUCUGUACCAGAAGUGACGGAUUGACAGCCUCUAACUAGCAAUGAUAGAUACCUGGUGGCUGCAAUUGAUGGGGUCUCCGAGAAAAUGACUGUGCAGGAUAUCUGUGAUCUAAUAUGGGAUGUCUCCUCGGAGAUAUGUUCUCCCUAAUUCACUGUUCACAAGAUCUUGGAGACCAGGGUAUCGGUUGUUAUUGUUGGUGAAUGCUUGAGACUUCUGGUUUUCCUGAACACAAUGUCACACGCAAGUGAAUGUCAGGAAGAUGUUAUGGGCGUGCUUGGUCAGUGGAAUUGAAUGGUAUUGAAUUGUAUUAGAUGGGAUUAACAUUAUUAUUGCACAAUAGUUGCAUGUCAGGAAAUAUCACAGUAUUGUAGCCACCCAAUACCAUAUUUGGGAUAAAAAUUUUGCUAGGGGAAAACACCGGAUUAAGCAAAAUCAUGUUUGGUGGACCAUUGAA